GCCUGUGAUCCUGACCUAAUGGAUUUCGCUGCAGCCCUUUCCACGCGGCGGCGAAGUUCAGGAUUGCCUCUCUGCAAACUUUUCUCAAUAUAGCCGCCCUUGGAUGCUGCUGAGGUGGUUAGUUUAUUUUGGACACACACUUUUCCCUUAGAGAGAGAGAGAAUAAACCUCCAACGAUUUCUCUCUGCCCAUCACCCCAAACUUCGACGUAGAUCCCCAACUUUUCAGAAGAUCGUGCGUCUUCUUCUGCUCAGAAGCAGCUCGUGUCACCUGCGCUAAUCCUUCGCGUACAUUUUCAGCUCUCAGUCCUGGUUCGUGAGAAACAAAGCAAAGCCUAGGAAAACGGAUGGUGCUCUAGCUGCUGCAGGAAGGGAGAGGAGGAAGGACGUCGAAAAGGCCUAAGAGUAAGAGGGACCUACCGGGCCGGCUCGGUUGGUGGAGGAAGCCUCUCCCCGGAAGAAGGAAACGGGAGAUGAAGAUGAAGAGGAGGAGGACACGGAAAUAAUAGUAUGGAAAAAAUAGAUUUCUCUUUCCCCGUCACACAUAUACACAAAGAGGCAGCCACACUUCGCCAGAUAAAGUCUCCGGACCCGUUCAGCAGGAAUCCUCAUUUGGGGCCUUUUUACACCGGGAAGGCCAGAGAGAUCUGCGGAACUCCAUGCCCAUUGAUGUACUACUUUCACCCCGCUUUGAAAAGCAAUUCUGCUCUCCUCCAGAGCCGUUCUCAGCCUCCCGUUUUGUUUUUAGCCCCAGAAUUGCCGGACUUUAUGGCGCUGCUGCUAAGGAAAUCUGUCUGAUCUUCGGCGAGAGGGAGGUGUUCGGCCGCAGGGGGACCCUGAGAGCACUUCAGAUUUUUCUGGAUUCCGAAUGUCCUCGCGACCCUACGCUCCACAACUCCGCGCCGCCCUCCUUUGAUCUGGAACCCUCCCGGCGCCUCCCUGGUCAAAGUUAGAGACCUGCGUUCCAUCCUCAGGCGCCGCACCGCGGAGGGAGCCCCACAGUCGAGCGUCUCUCCCGGCCUCCUCCCCACGUGCCGGGUGGCCCUCGGACUUCACACCCUUCAGGCAGGAGCAGCGGCCGCUUCGUCCCCGCAAAAAAGUAGUUCCAGCACAAUGUUUGUUAACUAGGUUAUCUAGGCCGUAGAAGAUUUUAAUGUUGAAUUUUAUAGCUUUACCACGCUCUACCGUCCUUGUGAAUAUUGUAAUAUUGCAUUUUUUACAAGUUACUCUUCUGUUAAUGUUCCAGCUAGUAACUUUUAUAAUCCUCCUCAAUGAAAUUUUUUUGUAUUCUUCCGCACCGUUAACCUCAAUGGCGGCACCUCAGCCCCUGGCAGGAGGCAGAGAGAUGGAAUGAAUUCCUCUUUAAUCAGAAAUAAUAAUAAUAAUAAAAACACACACAAGGCUCCCUCUGCCUCUUUUAUUUCAGCUUCGCUUGGAAACAGGGUGGGGUGGGGGAGGGGAUGAGGAAUCCCCCCAGUUCUCCCCCCUUCAGGGAUGGGGGAGAGAGAAAGAAAGAAAGUGGGUGGGUGUCUCUCCGUCUAUUUCUACGCCCGUAUUUCUUAUGCAGUCUAUCAGCAAUGCCUCCCUUGACUGUGAAUGAGAGAGAGAGAGAGAGA